rnacentral:rRNA from 1 species
UUAAAUUGAAGAGUUUGAUCAUGGCUCAGAUUGAACGCUGGCGGCAGGCCUAACACAUGCAAGUCGAACGGUAACAGGAAGCAGCUUGCUGCUUUGCUGACGAGUGGCGGACGGGUGAGUAAUGUCUGGGAAACUGCCUGAUGGAGGGGGAUAACUACUGGAAACGGUGGCUAAUACCGCAUAACGACGCAAGACCA